rnacentral:rRNA from 1 species
AACGAACGCUGGCGGUAUGCUUUACACAUGCAAGUCGAACGAGUAUGGACCUAGCUUGCUAGGGACCCAGCUAGUGGCAAACGGGUGAGUAACGCGUGGGAACCUUACCUUUUAGUACGGAAUAGUCUCGGGAAACUGGGUUUAAUACCGUAUACGCUCUACGGAGGAAAGAUUUAUCGCUAAAAGAUGGGCCCGCGUUAGAUUAGUUUGUUGGUGAGGUAAUGGCUCACCAAGACUACGAUCUAUAGCUGGUUUGAGAGGAUGAUCAGCCACACUGGAACUGAGACACGGUCCAG